GCCUAGGCGCCAGGAGCCGAAGAAGGACGCGGUAAGCUGCGAAAAGCCACGGGGAACUGCAAGCGAGUAUUGAUCCGUGGAUAUCCGAAUGGGGAAACCCGGCCAUCGUAAUGGAUGGUCAUCCGCAAGGAAGGGAACCCGGGGAACUGAAACAUCUAAGUACCCGGAGGAAAAGAAAUCAAACGAGAUGCCCACAGUAGCGGCGAGCGAAGAGGGCAGAGCCCAAACCUGUAAGCUACGGCUUAUGGGGGUUGAGGACUGACAUAAUUAAGGCCAGGCUUAGCUGAACUACCUGGGAAGGUAGGCGAUAGAAGGUAAGAGCCCUGUAAGCGAAAGGCAGAGCCUUAAGGUCAGUAUCCAGAGUACCACGGAGCACGAGGAAUUCUGUGGGAAGCAGGGGGGACCACCCUCCAAGGCUAAAGACUAACUGGCGACCGAUAGCGCAUAGUACCGUGAGGGAAAGGUGAAAAGAACCCCGGGAGGGGAGUGAAAUAGUACCUGAAACCGUAUGUCUACAAGCAGUCGGAGCGAAAGCGACGGCGUGCCUAUUGAAGAAUGAACCAACGAGUUAUCUGCACUAGCGAGGUUAAGUGGAAGACACGGAGCCGUAGCGAAAGCGAGUCUGAAAAGGGCGGCGAGUUAGUGUAGGUAGACCCGAAACCGCAGUGAUCUACCCAUGUCCAGGUUGAAGCGCAGGUAAAAAUGCGUGGAGGACCGAACCGGUGAGCGUUGAAAAGCUUUCGGAUGAGAUGUGGGUAGGGGUGAAAUUCCAAUCGAACGCGGAGAUAGCUGGUUCUCCCCGAAAUAGCUUUAGGGCUAGCCUCAGGUAGUAAGUAUAGGCGGUAGAGCACUGAUCGGGCUAGGGGCCAUAAAGGUUACCGAACCCUGUCAAACUCCGAAUGGAUAUACUGCAGAGCCUGGGAGUCAGACUACGAGUGAUAAGAUCCGUGGUCAAAAGGGAAACAGCCCAGACCACCGGCUAAGGUCCCAAAUGCCGUACUAAGUGGAAAAGGAUGUGGGGAUUCAUAAACAACCAGGAUGUUGGCUCAGAAGCAGCCACCAUUUAAAGAGUGCGUAAUAGCUCACUGGUCGAGAGUCCCUGCGCCGAAAAUUUCCGGGGCUAAAGUACGGAACCGAAGCCGUGGCUGUGCAUGUAAGUGCACGGGGUAGGGGAGCGUUGCCACAGGGGUGAAGCUGGUCUGGAAGGACUGGUGGACUUGUGGGAAGUGAGAAUGUUGGUAUGAGUAGCGAAAAGAAAGGUGAGAAUCCUUUCCACCGAAAGCAUAAGGAUUCCUGAGCAACGAUCGUCGUCUCAGGGUAAGUCGGGACCUAAUCCGAGGCAAAGAGCGUAGGAGAUGGACAACAGGUUGAUAUUCCUGUACCGGCAGCAAUUGUUUGAGCGAAGGAGUGACACAGAAGGGCAGGCAGGCGCGAGACUGGAUUGUCGCGUGCAAGCGUGUAGGGUAGUGUACAGGCAAAUCCGUACACUGAGAGCCUGAGGCGUUACGCGGAGCGAGCAGAGAUGCGAGCGAAGCUGCUGAUCCCACACUGUCGAGAAAAGCUUCUAGUGAGAGAGCUGCCGCCCGUACCGUAAACCGACACAGGUAUGCGGGGAGAGAAUCCUAAGGUGCGCGGGAGAACCCUCGUUAAGGAACUCGGCAAAAUGUACCCGUAACUUCGGGAUAAGGGUAGCCGUCUUGGUGAAGGAGCUUGCCUCUGGAGCUGAAGGCGGUCGCAGAGAAGAGGCCCAAGCGACUGUUUACCACAAACACAGGUGCCUGCUAAAGCGAAAGCUGACGUAUAGGUGCUGACACCUGCCCAGUGCUGGAAGGUUAAGGAAGGAUGUCCGGGCAACCAAAGCAUUCGACCGAAGCCCCAGUGAACGGCGGCCGUAACUAUAACGGUCCUAAGGUAGCGAAAUUCCUUGUCGGGUAAGUUCCGACCCGCACGAAAGGUGUAACGAUUUGGGCACUGUCUCAACGAGGGACCCGGUGAAAUUGAAAUACCUGUGAAGAUGCAGGUUACCCGCGACUGGACAGAAAGACCCCAUGGAGCUUUACUGUAACCUGACAUUGGGUUUUGUUGUAUUACGUACAGGAUAGGUGGGAGGCUUGGAAGGCUGGACGCUAGUCUGGCUGGAGCCGGCGUUGGGAUACCACCCUUGAUACAACGGAAUUCUAACCGAGAGAGUAACGAAAUCCGGGACAGUGUCAGGCGGGCAGUUUGACUGGGGCGGUCGCCUC
rnacentral:rRNA from 1 species